rnacentral:rRNA from 1 species
GAGUUUGAUCAUGGCUCAGGAUGAACGCUGGCGGCGUGCCUAAUACAUGCAAGUCGAACGAGGUGCUUUUGUAGCAAUACGAGAGUAUCCUAGUGGCGAACGGGUGAGUAACGCGUUGGUGACCUACCUCAAAGUGUGGGAUAACAGUCCGAAAGGAUUGCUAAUACCGCAUGUGGUUAUCGGGUUUAGAAACUGAUAACUAAAGGAGCAAUUCGCUUUGGGAGGGACCUGCGUCCCAUCAGCUAGUUGGUGAGGUAAUGGCUCACCAAGGCUACGACGGGUAGGGGACCUGAGAGGGUGACCCCCACAAUGGAACUGAAACACGGUCCAUACACCUGCGGGUGGCAGCAGUAGGGAAUAUUGCACAAUGGGCGAAAGCCUGAUGCAGCAACGCCGCGUGUGCGAUGAAGGCCUUCGGGUCGUAAAGCACUUUUCUGAGGGAUGAGCAAGGACAGUACCUCAGGAAUAAGUCUCGGCUAACUACGUGCCAGCAGCCGCGGUAAAACGUAGGAGGCAAGCGUUAUCCGGAUUCACUGGGCGUAAAGCGCGUGCAGGCGGUUCGGUAAGUUGGGCGUGAAAUCUCCUGGCUUAACUAGGAGAGGUCGUUCAAUACUACCGGACUUGAGAGUGAUAGAGGAAGAUGGAAUUCCCGGUGUAGUGGUGAAAUGCG